rnacentral:rRNA from 1 species
AUGAACGCUGGCGGCGUGCCUAAUACAUGCAAGUCGAGCGAACGGACGAGAAGCUUGCUUCUCUGAUGUUAGCGGCGGACGGGUGAGUAACACGUGGAUAACCUACCUAUAAGACUGGGAUAACUUCGGGAAACCGGAGCUAAUACCGGAUGAUAUUUUGAACCGCAUGGUUCAAAAGUGAAAGACGGUCUUGCUGUCACUUAUAGAUGGAUCCGCGCUGCAUUAGCUAGUUGGUAAGGUAACGGCUUACCAAGGCAACGAUGCAUAGCCGACCUGAGAGGGUGAUCGGCCAUACUGGAACUGAGACACGGUCCAGACUCCUACGGGAGGCAGCAGUAGGGAAUCUUCCGCAAUGGGCGAAAGCCUGACGGAGCAACGCCGCGUGAGUGAUGAAGGUCUUCGGAUCGUAAAACUCUGUUAUUAGGGAAGAACAUAUGUGUAAGUAACUGUGCACAUCUUGACGGUACCUAAUCAGAAAGCCACGGCUAACUACGUG